rnacentral:rRNA from 1 species
UACGGGGGGAGCAAGCGUUGUUCGGAAUUACUGGGCGUAAAGGGCGCGUAGGCGGCUUUGUAAGUCAGUGGUGAAAUAUGGCAGCUUAACUGUCAAGGUGCCAUUGAUACUGCGGAGCUUGAGUACAGAUGAGGUAGGCGGAAUUGACGGUGUAGCGGUGAAAUGCUUAGAUAUCGUCAAGAACACCUAUAGCGAAGGCAGCUUACUAGGCUGUAACUGACGCUGAGGCACGAAAGUGUGGGGAUCAAACAGG